CGCCUCAGAUCCCUUCUGCUUCUUGUUUUGAUUUUUCGGUUGUGUUUUAUGCCGGGCUCUGAUUGUUACGGUGUCCCCAAUGUGUUUUUCUAGGAUGUGUCGCUGCAUUUGCUCUCGUCCCGUGGGGGUGUUGAUGUUUUUUUCUUCCGGUUCUGUUGUCGUUCUAUACCUGAUCUUGGUGUGUUAAAUUGUCAGCAGCUGUGUCUUUGUUAAGGAGCCGCAUCGGAGGGUGGUGUACUACUGUCGACCUCUUAGCAUGGUAGUUGCAGAGUUGCUGAUGUGCAAAGCAGCAGAGGUCCAAUUUGACACUAGUUAUUAUCUUCAUACGGCACCAGUGUUGGGUACCAAGAAGUACUCCUGUUCUCUUGUUUUUUUUCUUUUGUUUCCUACUUCGGUGAAAGGAGGCAGUGGGGGUUGGCAGUGGCACUUCCUUCGUUGCGGGCUGGGUGUUACGGUAAAAAGCUGGCAGCCGCGCGGAGUGGCUACUAGAUCUCAUUGUGGGGGGGGGGGGGGGUGUAGUAGGCAUUUAAUUAUUUAUUUAUUUUAUAUGCGAGUGUCUCAUUUUGUUGUUGAAGCUCGGCAGUUCAAGAAGUUUGCGGUUGGUUCUCUCUCUUCCCGUCUUUGUUAGCAUAUUAGAGUAGCUCUCGUUUUGUUUUAUUUGAUCAGAUCUUUUUGCAGUCCGCAUUUUGCAGUGGUGCUGCUAGAGCAACAUUCAGAGGAUGUGGUGGUGCAGAGCUGCGGAGGUCGCUUUGGCCUUGUUCUCUGAUUUUUGCUGGUUCUUGAAAGUUGCGGUUCUAGGUUGAGGCCAUGCGGUAUUAACUGUCGGUGGCAGUAGGGAAGCAGGCAUCAAGGCGCUUGUGCGAACGUGGUCGAGUGCGGGAUUCUAGCCUAGUACAGUUGGAAGGACGUCAAAUUGGUUGCGCAAAAUAACCUGCUAAGAAUCAUAAGAGCAACGAACAAUCGUUCUUACCAUCGUUCUACGAGAAGAGUCGCUCAGCAAAUCCAAGGACGACAAUGCGCACUAAUUUCAUUCGUUAUUGACAACACCAAGGUCGGCAUAGAGGAGGCAACUGUAGCAUAUCAAUGCAAUUGCAUUGGCUAAAGAAAAGAAGUGCUUAGAAGGAGAGAUUAAGAAUCUUCUUGAUAUUAGAUAAUAGAUUUGAGUUGCUCCAUGCAUCAGUCCCCUUAGAAAUUGGAAGACAAUCUAGGUGCCUUGGACAUUGAUAGUACCUCGUGUUGCAAGUGCAAAGGAUAACAUAAUUUGAUAGAUUGUCUUUUUGUUGUUGUGUGUAUUCCUCAGAGUUAAGUAGAUUCCAAGUUGGUGUUGGGAAUUUGAUUUAGUAAAUAGAACUAAAGUUGGCUUUUUUAAUCCAUUUUUUGAUAGAGAUAGACACAUCAAACUUUGUAUUAGAUGUAAUAUUAUCACCAUAAGAGUUAAUAAAAAAAAUUCAUUUCAUAGCUUUUUA